UUUAAGCGCAACCAUAAGUUUCCACGUCCAACUUUGAUCGUCCGUCUUAUUUGAAUUUCUUUUUAUAAGUAAUAUUUUUUGUUGUUAUGAGAUAAUAAAACAUGAAAAAUAAUUUACUCGUGACUUAUGUUUUUAAAGUUUUUCAAAUAAAUUUCAAUUAAGGUAGAUGUUUAAAGUUGGGCAAAGAAAACUAUGGCUGCACUUAAA
rfam:Oryza glaberrima chromosome 12 Oglab12_0066_19, whole genome shotgun sequence.